rnacentral:rRNA from 1 species
GACGGAGGGUGCAAGCGUUGCUCGGAAUCAUUGGGCGUAAAGGGUGCGUAGGCGGCUUUUUAAGUCUGACGUGAAAGCCCAGGGCUUAGCCUUGGAAGUGCGCCAGAAACUAGAAGGCUAGAGUGCCGGAGGGGAGAGUGGAAUUCCUGGUGUAGCGGUGAAAUGCGUAGAUAUCAGGAGGAAUACCGGUGGCGAAAGCGACUCUCUGGACGGUAACUGACGCUGAGGCACGAAAGCGUGGGGAGCAAACAGG